rnacentral:tRNA from 2 species
GGUCGCUUAGCUCAGUUGGUUAGAGCGUGGUGCUAAUAAGCAAUAUCGCUUGUGAAAACGCCAAGGUCGCGAGUUCGACCCUCGUAGUGACCA